GGUGCUAUAGUGUAGUGGUUAUCACUCGGGAUUUUGACCGAAUUCGAAUUUCCCGAAACCCAGGUUCGAACCCUGGUAGCACCU
rnacentral:tRNA from 1 species